CCCUGCCAUUUGUACACACCGCCCGUCGCACCUACCGAUUGGAUGGUCCGAUGAGGCCUCCGGACUCGGACCUGUUCUCCGUUUCGGGGACUGGACCGGGGAAGUUGGUCAAAUCUUACCAUCUAGAGGAAGGU
rnacentral:rRNA from 1 species